AGGAGAUUAAACCCAAUAAGAGUCGCGGUAAGGGCGUACCCAAGAGUGGUCCACCUGUCCUGAUUUAUUGUACCGAGAUUUAUUAGACCGAAUGUGGAGAGAAAAAAACCAGUGCCUUUUCCCCUCGCAAGUCGCAACCCAGCGUACCUUUUCCUUUUCUUCCCACAGCUAGGGUUAGCGUCGCCGCCGCCCUCCCCUGUGCUCGUGCCCUCUCCUCUCCCGGCCCGAGCUCCACUGCCUCCAGCCUACGCUAGCGCUCCGUCUCUUCCUCCUCGUUGGCGCUCAAUCGGACGAGCGUGAGCUGCAGCAAACGGCAGCGGAGGGAAACGUGGAUGAGGAGAUCAAGCCAAGCCGGAGGGGACAACUGGUGCACGAGCUCGCACUGCCCUGGCGCCGAUCUCGCGCCGGUCCUACGCCCUGCCACCCUCUCUCGGGACGCCAUGGAGAUCAACAAGGUGCGCCCCCACCCCCCUCCCUCUGUCGGGGUAUGGUAGGUUCGUACUGACCGCCUCCGGCUCGAGCAAGGAUCUGCUGCACCUCCGGCCCCUUUUGCUUGCAGAUUGAGGAGAAGAGAACACAUGUAGAUAGUUCAUCAAAGUUCCUUAACUGCGGCUGAUCUUCUUCGUCAGGUGAAUGUACUGCAGAUUUAGUACAUAGAGCUUUUUUUCCUUCUCUAAGAUACAGUAUACUGCUAAUUUUGAUGGUUUGUUGAAUUAUCUUCUUGUAAUAUAUGAGCGCCCGCAAUGGCCACCUCGGCACAAGGAACACAGGUUGCAGAGAUAGACGUGCGGGCUGCAGAGAGGGCCACCCACGACAUGGUCGCUACCGUUCGUCUAUCGCACGGCAACGGCAGGUCGACCCCACCAUCUCUGCCCCUUUUUGAUGGCGGCUCUGGAGGACCGAGGAAUUGAGGUUGCCCCUUUCGUCUGUUCACAUCCUCCGUUAGUUUUAGAUUUUUGAAGAUUUAUGCGAUGGAAUCAUGAUAUGUAACAUGUCUUCUCCUGAAGAGGUCCGCUUAUUACUUGAUGACACUGUUGCCGGAAACACGGCCAAGGUAGCUGUGCUCCUCAUGAUGGAGCAGCGCCUGGGACAUUUUCUUGGGAGGUUGAAGCCGGAAAGGGAGGAGGAAGAUGGCAGCCGCCCCGCUGCCCAAGGCCGACGAGCUGCAGCCGCAUCCGCUCAAGGAGCAGCUGCCCAGCGUGUCUUUCUGCAUCACCAGCUCACUGCCAUGGCGUACCGUGCUCUGCUUCACCCCGCCUCAGGGGCCUCUUGAUUUGCUCUUUGAAAGUUUCCCUCUUACAUUCCGUGCUUGUCCUUCACUGUCCUCAGUUUUUGCUCCUACUUGUUGUUUCAUGUCCAGGCUUUCUUUCCCACUGCAUCAUGUGUGCUGAUUACUGACCUAUUUUUGUUGUUGUCGAUGCACAUCAGUCUUCAUAUUUUCAGUAGAGAAAGUUUUUUGUUGGAAACAAAUUCUUUUGCUUAACCAGUGUGGAAGGUUCAUUGAUCUUGAAUUUAUUUAUAAUGAAAAGGCCUUCAGCUGCACAUGUUUUUAUGCAAUUGAUAGUAUGUACUACUCAUAUUAAUCAAAUAGCAUAUAAGUUGAUGUUCCUCUUGUGCUUGUAAUCUUGGGCGGAACCAAGGCCGUGAUACUAGGAUUUCAACAUUUCAUAGUCAUGUUGGGCACCAGCAUCAUCAUACCAACGAUGCUUGUUCCUCAAAUGGGAGGUGGAAAUGAGGAGAAAGCUCGGGUAAUCUAGACGCUCAUGUUCGUCGUCGGCAUAAACACCUUACUGCAAACCUUCUUGGGGUCUUGUCUCCACGUCGUGAUGGGUGGCUCCAACACUUUCAUUGUGCCAACCAUCUCCAUCAUCUUGGCCGGAUGCUGAGGCAAUGAGGCAGAUCCUCACGAGGUACUUAUUACUGUCCAGCAGAAUUGCCUUCUCAAGUUCUCAUCAUGUACGAGUUCCUGUACGGAGGCUAACAAAUUUGUGUUGUUGUCAAGAAAAUUCCUACGGACGAUGAGGGGGACACAAAGCGCUCUCAUAAUCGCGAUGAUGAUUCAAAUCAUCCAUGGUUUCAGUGGUCUCUGGCGCAAUGUUGUCCCCCAUUAUCCGCGGUUCCUCUUGUUUCACUCAUUGGAUUUGGGCUUUAUGAACUUGGCUUUCCAGGCUUUCACCACCGUUGAGUUUCAUGUGAACAAUCUGUUUUGUUAUUUUUAUAAAACAAUAUCAUGCCUCAUUUUCCAUUUGAUUUAGUUAUUUCAACUUCAACUUUGAGUGUAUUAGAUAUGCACUGAAUAGAAAGUAUAUUACCUUAUCUGAGUUGUUGCUGCCACUGAGGUGUUAAAAGUGCAUAUUCAUAGCAUCUUCCUUGGCACGAUUAAUUGCCACCGGUUUACAUUCGUAUCUUUCAACAUUUAGUUCAGGAGCUUGAUGAAUUUUCCAUGUCCUGAAAUCAUAUAUAUUUUUUAACAUGAAUUUUGUCUCCACAAAGAACAGUGUGGUAAGCUCUAUAACAGUCAUUCAGACAUCAAAUUAUGAACUCUCAUAUUUGAUUGCUUGGAAAACAGUUCAAAGCAUAGCCAGGAAAUGCUGGCGACCGGAAUAUUGUGAUACUAUGGAUGCUAUCAAGCAUGCUUUUGGGGGCUUACCGCAGAUCAUCUGCAAGAAGGGUUCAGUUCAAGAACUAAUUAAGGUUAAGCUUCAACAAUGAUUUGAAGUCUACAUCACUUUUCAAACCACAGGAUCCUCAUGACCACGGCUAGGAACCUCUAGAGUACAUCAUCUGCGCCUCGGGUGGCUACAGAUGCUGCAGCCGGUUCAACCUAUGGCCAUCAUAAAGAACAGGAAGGACUUGUAAUGUAGUGGAAGGAGCAUGUCCUGCAGGAGAUGGACAGCGAGGCCGCUGACAAGGUCUCUGAACGACGCGCUAGCGGUGGUGGCGGCAGCGACCAAGGCCGUUGACGAGAAGAUCGCGAUGGAGGAGAAGUUUUGGAACUGGAAGAUGGAGAUUGUUAGGAGGAAGCACAACCACAUCUUGUCCCUGUUCAACCUACACAAGGUGUUGGUGGAGAAGAAGCAGGGAAGCUGCUCGCUGAGAAGACCACGCAACAGAAGACCCCCACCGCUGCCGGUGUUAUCUCUAGCACGAGCUGACCACAUCGGGCGUUAGUUGGAUCAUAGAAUGUAUCAUGUCAUCAGAUACAUACAGUAUAUCAUCAGUUGCAUGUACAUUCAAGAGGCUCUCAUUGUUUGAAUGCAGCUGUGCUACACAAAUUGCUGAAAAGAAAUCAGAAAGUGUGUGUGUGCCUACCUGGCACCGCACAACCA